rnacentral:rRNA from 1 species
AUGGCUGUCGUCAGCUCGUGUUGUGAAAUGUUGGGUUAAGUCCCGCAACGAGCGCAACCCUUAUCCUUUGUUGCCAGCGGUUCGGCCGGGAACUCAAAGGAGACUGCCAGUGAUAAACUGGAGGAAGGUGGGGAUGACGUCAAGUCAUCAUGGCCCUUACGAGUAGGGCUACACACGAGCUACAAUGGCAUAUACAAAGAGAAGCGACCUCGCGAGAGCAAGCGGACCUCAUAAAGUAUGUCGUAGUCCGGAUUGGAGUCUGCAACUCGACUCCAUGAAGUCGGAAUCGCUAGUAAUCGUAGAUCAGAAUGCUACGGUGUAUACGUUCCCGGGCCUUGUACACACCGCCCGUCACACCAUGGGAGUGGGUUGCAAAAGAAGUAGAUAGCUUAACCUUCGGGAGGGCGCUUACCACUUUGUGAUUCAUGACUGGGGUGAAGUCGUAACAGGG